GAUGACUUAAUAGAGGUAGUAGGGAUGGAUGGAUGACUUAAUAGAGGUAGUACGGAUGGAUGGAUGACUUAAUAGAGGUAGUGCGGAUGGAUGGAUGACUUAAUAGAGGUAGUACAGAUGGAUGGAUGACUUAAUAGAGGUAGUGCGGAUGGAUGGAUGACUUAAUAGAGGUAGUACGGAUGGAUGACUUAAUAGAGGU